rnacentral:rRNA from 1 species
CCUACGGGAGGCAGCAGUGAGGAAUAUUGGUCAAUGGGCGAGAGCCUGAACCAGCCAAGUCGCGUGAGGGAGUACUGCCCUAUGGGUUGUAAACCUCUUUUGUCGGGGAGCAAAAGCCGGACGUGUCCGGCUGUGAGAGUACCCGAAGAAAAAGCAUCGGCUAACUCCGUUCCAGCAGCCGCGGUAAUACGGAGGAUGCGAGCGUUAUCCGGAUUUAUUGGGUUUAAAGGGUGCGCAGGCGGAUUUUUAAGUCAGCGGUAAAAUCGUGGGGCUCAACCCCAUCCAGCCGUUGAAACUGGGGAUCUAGAGUGUGCGAGAGGUAUGCGGAAUGCGUGGUGUAGCGGUGAAAUGCAUAGAUAUCACGCAGAACCCCGAUUGCGAAGGCAGCAUACCGGUGCACAACUGACGCUCAGGCACGAAAGCGUGGGUAUCGAACAGGAUUAGAUACCCUUGUAGUC